AUGGAAUAUAUGUACACACAGG
rnacentral:miRNA from 1 species